rnacentral:lncRNA from 1 species
AUGCUGGACAGUGCUGGACAUCCCUGGUCAGUGCAGGGGAUCCAGGGGCAGAGGGACAGAAGGCUCCUGGUGCUGUCUGACCUGGCAGGUCUCCAGAUGUCCUGUAUUUCCCACAGCAAACCUCAGCUGCUUGGCAGCAUGACAGCAGCGGUGAGGGCCAUCAGGCUUCUCAGUCUUUCCCUGAGAGUCCAGCUCAGCAAAUUAGACCUGUCCUGCACUGACUUGAUAAACCUGAUGUGCUUCUGGACAAAGUUACCUCUCAUCUGUGAGCAAGUGAUUUGCUUAUUUCUCCCACAGGUUGUGAACAUGUGCUUGCUGACCACAUCUACCUUACCAGGAGGCGAAAAAUCAUGGAAUCAUAGAAUGGUAAGGGCUUGGAAUAGACCUUAAAAAUCAUCUAAUCCCAACCCUCCUGCCAUGGGCAGGGACAUCUCCCACCAGACCGGGCUGCUCAAGGCCGUGUCCAACCUGGCUGGGCUUGGAGCAUCCACAACCUCCUGGGCAACCUGUCCAGUGUCUCACCACCCUCACGGUGAAAAAUGGCUUUCUGUCAUCAGAGAAAGGAACUGGGCUGUGCUCAUACCUACUCAAAUUCAGGUGACAAACAUCUUGAGCUUUGGCCCAUGGGUUUCUGCAGUUCUUGCUUUCUUUACAUAUAUGAUAUAUUUAAUAACUAGAAACAAUUUGGAUAUAGAAAUGACUCCAGAAAUAGGC